rnacentral:lncRNA from 1 species
UUAUAUUAUGGUUUGUGAUGCCUAAAAAUGGUAAAGGAAGCAAAAAACGAAAAAAAAAAAAACCAUACAUACCACUACUGGUAUUCAUUAUAACCGACGUGGAAUCUCAUACAUACCACUACGGGUAUUUGUAAAUACCCGUAGUGGAAUCCCCAAUUCUUAAAAAAAAAAAAAACUGGAAACCAUACAUACCACUACGGAUAUGUGUAAAUUACCGUAGUGGAAUCUCAUACAUACCACUACGGUUAUUUGUAAAAACCGACGUGGAAUCCCCAUAAUUUUAAAUAAUAAUUACAGAAGAAAUUAGGAUACCACGACGGGUAUAAAAAGACCCGACGUGGAAAGUGUGUACUUACAACGUCGACCGCGUUUACUACUGGCCGCGGCCAGUAGUGGAAAGUCUGUUUGGCCAGUAGUUGUAUCUCCUUUCUGCACUAGUGU